GCAGUCGCCGCGGGAAUACGAAGGGUGCAAGCGUUACUCGGAAUUACUGGGCGUAAAGCGUGCGUAGGUGGUGGUUUAAGUCCGUUGUGAAAGCCCUGGGCUCAACCUGGGAAUUGCAGUGGAUACUGGGUCACUAGAGUGUGGUAGAGGAUAGUGGAAUUUCCGGUGUAGCAGUGAAAUGCGUAGAGAUCGGAAGGAACAUCUGUGGCGAAGGCGACUAUCUGGGCCAACACUGACACUGAGGCACGAAAGCGUGGGGAGCAAACAGGAUUAGAUCCCCGUAGUCCCUGUCUCUUAUACAC
rnacentral:rRNA from 1 species